rnacentral:rRNA from 1 species
GAUGAACGCUGGCGGCGUGCCUAAUACAUGCAAGUCGAGCGAACGGACGAGAAGCUUGCUUCUCUGAUGUUAGCGGCGGACGGGUGAGUAACACGUGGAUAACCUACCUAUAAGACUGGGAUAACUUCGGGAAACCGGAGCUAAUACCGGAUAAUAUUUUGAACCGCAUGGUUCAAAAGUGAAAGACGGUCUUGCUGUCACUUAUAGAUGGAUCCGCGCUGCAUUAGCUAGUUGGUAAGGUAACGGCUUACCAAGGCAACGAUGCAUAGCCGACCUGAGAGGGUGAUCGGCCACACUGGAACUGAGACACGGUCCAGACUCCUACGGGAGGCAGCAGUAGGGAAUCUUCCGCAAUGGGCGAAAGCCUGACGGAGCAACGCCGCGUGAGUGAUGAAGGUCUUCGGAUCGUAAAACUCUGUUAUUAGGGAAGAACAUAUGUGUAAGUAACUGUGCACAUCUUGACGGUACCUAAUCAGAAAGCCACGGCUAACUACGUGCCAGCAGCCGCGGUAAUACGUAGGUGGCAAGCGUUAUCCGGAAUUAUUGGGCGUAAAGCGCGCGUAGGCGGUUUUUUAAGUCUGAUGUGAAAGCCCACGGCUCAACCGUGGAGGGUCAUUGGAAACUGGAAAACUUGAGUGCAGAAGAGGAAAGUGGAAUUCCAUGUGUAGCGGUGAAAUGCGCAGAGAUAUGGAGGAACACCAGUGGCGAAGGCGACUUUCUGGUCUGUAACUGACGCUGAUGUACGAAAGCGUGGGGAUCAAACAGGAUUAGAUACCCUGGUAGUCCACGCCGUAAACGAUGAGUGCUAAGUGUUAGGGGGUUUCCGCCCCUUAGUGCUGCAGCUAACGCAUUAAGCACUCCGCCUGGGGAGUACGACCGCAAGGUUGAAACUCAAAGGAAUUGACGGGGACCCGCACAAGCGGUGGAGCAUGUGGUUUAAUUCGAAGCAACGCGAAGAACCUUACCAAAUCUUGACAUCCUUUGACAACUCUAGAGAUAGAGCCUUCCCCUUCGGGGGACAAAGUGACAGGUGGUGCAUGGUUGUCGUCAGCUCGUGUCGUGAGAUGUUGGGUUAAGUCCCGCAACGAGCGCAACCCUUAAGCUUAGUUGCCAUCAUUAAGUUGGGCACUCUAAGUUGACUGCCGGUGACAAACCGGAGGAAGGUGGGGAUGACGUCAAAUCAUCAUGCCCCUUAUGAUUUGGGCUACACACGUGCUACAAUGGACAAUACAAAGGGCAGCGAAACCGCGAGGUCAAGCAAAUCCCAUAAAGUUGUUCUCAGUUCGGAUUGUAGUCUGCAACUCGACUACAUGAAGCUGGAAUCGCUAGUAAUCGUAGAUCAGCAUGCUACGGUGAAUACGUUCCCGGGUCU